CUUGGCUCCUUCAGGACGGCCUUGUCGCCAUCACUGCCGUGUGCCCAGGGCCUAGAAGAACAGCCGGCGCACAGUAGUUUCUCAUCAGGUAAAUGGUGAUAACCAACCUCACAGAUGGUUGGGAAAAUGAGAUGAGAUAAUACACAGGAAGUGCAGCUCCUGACGAAGAAUGAGGAGUCCAUCCAUGGAAGCCACCAUCAUUCGUGUGUCGUGUGAAUUUCUGGUCCUAACCUGAAGGGAGAGGAGAGAGAAGACUGAGGAUUGGUGCUGAAAGACAUCCAAGACCUUGUUUUCUUCCUCCUCCUUCUCCCGAGAGAACCCUGGACUUACUUCAGGGGAAAACUACAUCACGCAAUGUUCUGUCUCCAUUGCUUUGCCAGAAAUUCCUCAUGACAGAUUCUGAUGCACCAGAUCGAGCCACCUCGCUGAGUGGCACCUAUUUGCAGAAGUCAUUAAAAGCCAUUGUUUAACUAAAGGCUUUUCUUCUUCCUUACAAUUUUCAAGACCCUGAAUUUGUACAGACCUGACUCAGCAACAUUGUAUUUUGGGAAUUUGCUACCUCUUCUCAGAUUCUGGACUGCGGUUCCCUAGUUUGCUGCUCUCGGCUCAGGAAUGGCUGUUACCUAGAUUUUGGCUCCAGAUCGGAAGUACUCUUGCCACAAAAAGACACAUCUUUGUACCAGGGCUCUGCCCCACCUGCUGGGUGCCUGGAUGACCCGGUUCCCCUUCCCUCUUGCCUCAUGGACAAAUUAACAUUUCCACAAUUGUAAAUUGUUGCCUUCCUAGGAAAGUAGCCAUUUGCCAGAGUGGUAAAGAUUUUGAAUAGAAUACACGCGCACACAGCCCUUUCUCUCUCUCUUUCUCUCUCUCCUUCUCUCCUUAAAUGGGAUCAUGACUGGAAAGCACCCAGCAUAGUGGCUGUCACAGAGGCCAGAACUCAAUAAAUAUUAUCGACGACUGCUAAUGCUAUAAUCAUCAUGUUCGAAAGGAAAC
rnacentral:lncRNA from 1 species